rnacentral:rRNA from 1 species
UACGUAGGGCGCAAGCGUUAUCCGGAAUUAUUGGGCGUAAAGAGCUCGUAGGCGGUUUGUCGCGUCUGCCGUGAAAGUCCGGGGCUCAACUCCGGAUCUGCGGUGGGUACGGGCAGACUAGAGUGAUGUAGGGGAGACUGGAAUUCCUGGUGUAGCGGUGAAAUGCGCAGAUAUCACUUGGAACGCCAAAGGUGAAGACAGUCUGCUGGGGACUUGCUGACGCUGAGACACGAAAGCCAGGGGAGCGAACGGG